AUACGGAGGAUCCGAGCGUUAUCCGGAUUUAUUGGGUUUAAAGGGAGCGUCGGCGGACGCUUAAGUCAGUUGUGAGAGUUUGCGGCUCAACCGUAAAAUUGCAGUUGAUACUGGUCGUCUUGAGUGCAGUAGAGGUAGGCGGAAUUCGCGGUGUAGCGGUGAAAUGCUUAGAUAUCACGAAGAACUCCGAUUGCGAAGGCAGCUUACUGGACUGUAACUGACGCUGAUGCUCGAAAGGGUGGGUAUCAAACAGGAUUAGAUACCCUGGUAGUCCACACAGUAAACGAUGAAUACUCGCUGUUUGCGAUAUACGGCAAGCGGCCAAGCGAAAGCAUUAAGUAUUCCACCUGGGGAGUACGCCGGCAACGGUGAAACUUAAAGGAAUUGACGGGG
rnacentral:rRNA from 1 species